UUUCCGUAGGUGAACCUGCGGAAGGAUCAUUCAUAAUAAAGUGUUUUAUGUCACUUUUUAAAAAUCCAUAUCCACCUUGUGUGCAAUGGUAGAUCGCGUCAAUUUUGGCGAGAUUUUUAUACAUCAACUCAUCCUUUGACUAAUUUGUCUUAAAAAUAUUAUGAAUACUUAAUUCAAUAUACAACUUUCAACAACGGAUCUCUUGGCUCUG
rnacentral:misc_RNA from 1 species